rnacentral:misc_RNA from 1 species
CAACGCCUACUGGCCAAAGAGGGGCUUCGCUUGGGAAGAACAGAUUGCCACUGGCUUGUGCCCUGUUCACGACGCAUCUGAACACGCGCGCACUAACGCACGCAUUUGCAGGUCAGCGGAUACCCCUCUUAGUGUAGUCCGGCACAAUGGCGGAACAGGAAGACUUGGCCGCCGUCUCGCCGGCAGAGACGAUGGAUUCUCAGCUGUACUACGUGCGGUAUUACUCCGGGCAUACUGGCCGCUACGGCAACGAGUUCCUUGAGUUCGAGAUAUCAGAGACUGGAUCACUGAAAUACGUCAACAACAGCAACUAUAGAAACGACUUCAUCAUCAAGAAGCAAGCACGCGUCUCUCCAGCGGUGCUCGAGGAGGUGAAGAAGCUCAUUGUGCAGUACUCGGUCUGCGAGAGUGACGACGAGCGGUGGCCAGCUCCGGAUCGCAAUGGGCGGCAGGAGCUGGAGAUUCACCUCGGCAACACCCAUAUAUCGCUCUUGACGAACAAGUUGACGUCGAUGGCCGAGAUUCCGAAGAGUUCGGAGACCGACAGCCUGGUGAGGUUCUACAGCUUUGUGCGGGAUGUGAAGGCGCUCAUCUUCGCGCUGGUCUCCAUUCACUUUAAAAUUAAGCCGAUCUGAGGUGCCCGUGCGCUAUGAUGUCUCUUCGGGAGCGAGAGGUUGCCCAUGUAGAGCUGAGUGCGCACGACGGAGAACGCACCAUUGAUGAAGAUGGCUACGUAACAAGGAGAAUGCCGAAAAUGAAGAAAAAAGUGCAGUGCGGCUAACGUGAACUGCCAUCCCCGUCUGCACGUCCUUUCUCCUGCCUCCGCUGUAAAGUUCAUUUGUCUGCGUGCACCAGCAAGUCUGUGUUGAUGCACAAGGACGGCCAAGAAGGGGCGUGCUAGCGGGCAAUGAGGCUGAUGAGGGCGCACUCCAGCACAGCGUAGAGUGAGAAAGCGUAGUGACGAGAGAGCCCUUGGCAGUCCAACGGAGAUCAGCGUUCUCAUGCGAAUGCGUUUUUGUUGCUGUGUCUUGCCACGUCUGGGAGCUCCUUUCCCUUUCCCUCCUCUUCGCUGCUUGUAUCGCGCCCUCUGCCCUUCCCGUGAGCCGCAACGCGACGGCAUGCACAUGUGUCGCAUUCUCGUACUCCUUUGUGGCUCCACGCCCUCCUCGCUGUCUCUCUCUCUCACCAACCCGCGUCAACGCGUCGCGGCCAUCGCAG